AUUGAACGCUGGCGGCGUGCUUAACACAUGCAAGUCGAGCGGCAGCGCGGGAGCAAUCCUGGCGGCGAGCGGCGAACGGGUGAGUAAUGCUUCGGAAUCUGCCCUUCAGUGGGGAAUAACCAGUCGAAAGACUUGGCUAAUACCGCAUACGAACUGAGGUUGAAAGCAGGGGAUCGCAAGACCUUGCGCUGAUGGAUGAGCCGAAGUCGGAUUAGCUUGUUGGUGGGGUAAUGGCCUACCAAGGCGACGAUCCGUAGCUGGUCUGAGAGGACGACCAGCCACACUGGGACUGAGACAACGGCCCAGACUCCUACGGGAGGCAGCAGUGGGGAA
rnacentral:rRNA from 1 species